rnacentral:rRNA from 1 species
UACGGAGGGGGCUAGCGUUGUUCGGAAUUACUGGGCGUAAAGCGCACGUAGGCGGCUUUGUAAGUUAGAGGUGAAAGCCUGGUGCUCAACACCAGAAUUGCCUUUAAGACUGCAUCGCUUGAACGUCGGAGAGGUGAGUGGAAUUCCGAGUGUAGAGGUGAAAUCGUAGAUAUUCGGAAGAACACCAGUGGCGAAGGCGGCUCACUGGACGACUGUUGACGCUGAGGUGCGAAAGCGUGGGGAGCAAACAGG